rnacentral:rRNA from 1 species
AUUUGAGUGAGUGGCGGACGGGUGAGUAACACGUGGGUAACCUGCCCUAAAGUGGGGGAUAACAUUUGGAAACAGAUGCUAAUACCGCAUAAAACCUAACACCGCAUGGUGUAGGGUUGAAAGAUGGUUUCGGCUAUCACUUUAGGAUGGACCCGCGGUGCAUUAGUUAGUUGGUGAGGUAAAGGCUCACCAAGACCGUGAUGCAUAGCCGACCUGAGAGGGUAAUCGGCCACACUGGGACUGAGACACGGCCCAGACUCCUACGGGAGGCAGCAGUAGGGAAUCUUCCACAAUGGACGAAAGUCUGAUGGAGCAACGCCGCGUGAGUGAAGAAGGUUUUCGGAUCGUAAAACUCUGUUGUUGGAGAAGAAUGUAUCUGAUAGUAACUGAUCAGGUAGUGACGGUAUCCAACCAGAAAGCCACGGCUAACUACGUGCCAGCAGCCGCGGUAAUACGUAGGUGGCAAGCGUUGUCCGGAUUUAUUGGGCGUAAAGCGAGCGCAGGCGGUUUCUUAAGUCUGAUGUGAAAGCCUUCGGCUCAACCGAAGAAGUGCAUCGGAAACUGGGAAACUUGAGUGCAGAAGAGGACAGUGGAACUCCAUGUGUAGCGGUGAAAUGCGUAGAUAUAUGGAAGAACACCAGUGGCGAAGGCGGCUGUCUGGUCUGUAACUGACGCUGAGGCUCGAAAGCAUGGGUAGCAAACAGGAUUAGAUACCCUGGUAGUCCAUGCCGUAAACGAUGAGUGCUAGGUGUUGGAGGGUUUCCGCCCUUCAGUGCCGCAGCUAACGCAUUAAGCACUCCGCCUGGGGAGUACGACCGCAAGGUUGAAACUCAAAGGAAUUGACGGGGGCCCGCACAAGCGGUGGAGCAUGUGGUUUAAUUCGAAGCAACGCGAAGAACCUUACCAGGUCUUGACAUCCUUUGACCACUCUAGAGAUAGAGCUUUCCCUUCGGGGACAAAGUGACAGGUGGUGCAUGGUUGUCGUCAGCUCGUGUCGUGAGAUGUUGGGUUAAGUCCCGCAACGAGCGCAACCCUUAUUACUAGUUGCCAGCAUUUAGUUGGGCACUCUAGUGAGACUGCCGGUGACAAACCGGAGGAAGGUGGGGACGACGUCAAAUCAUCAUGCCCCUUAUGACCUGGGCUACACACGUGCUACAAUGGAUGGUACAACGAGUUGCGAGACCGCGAGGUUUAGCUAAUCUCUUAAAACCAUUCUCAGUUCGGAUUGUAGGCUGCAACUCGCCUACAUGAAGCCGGAAUCGCUAGUAAUCAAGGAUCAGCAUGCCGCGGUGAAUACGCUCCCGGG